UACGUAGGGUGCGAGCGUUGUCCGGAAUUAUUGGGCGUAAAGGGCUCGUAGGCGGUCUGUCGCGUCGGGAGUGAAAACUCAGGGCUUAACCCUGAGCCUGCUUCCGAUACGGGCAGACUAGAGGUAUGCAGGGGAGAACGGAAUUCCUGGUGUAGCAGUGAAAUGCGUAGAUAUCAGGAGGAAUACCGAUGGCGAAGGCAGGUCUCUGGGCUGACACUGACGCUCAUGCACGAAAGCGUGGGGAGCAAACAGG
rnacentral:rRNA from 1 species